GGGUCGAUGCCCGAGUGGUUAAAGGGGGCGGAUUGUAAAUCCGCUGGUUUAUCCUACGCUGGUUCAAAUCCAGCUCGGCCCA
rnacentral:tRNA from 2 species